GGCAUACAGGAAAAACUGAAUGGAAUUAAUGUCACUAACUUGGAAACUCAGUAUAACAUCUUUCACUCAAAUGUGAACUUGCUAUAAGUAAAUGUUGGGGAAGGAAAGAAGAACAAUUGUCUUAUUUCUGGUUUUAGAUCGAAGACCCAAAGAUGGUGAUGGUGAGGUAGUCAGCAAAAAUAUAGUCCACAGAGGUAACAAAUUAUAUCAGCUUUAAUUUGUAAGUGUUUGAUGUGGGUUACAUUCUAGACAUGAAUCCACAGGUCUUUGAGUGUAUGUUGUGAUACCCAAUUGCACCUUGAUUUAAAUUAUUACCUGAGUCAAUAGUGUAUACUUGGCAUGAAAACCAGACUCUUGGAACAACAGAAUAAAUAAAUGAGAAAUUAAGAGUGAGUUCUUAUAACUCCAGAAAGCCCAAGCAAUGUGGUUGAGGCUUUGAUAAAAUUUAUAAACUCAUAUAGCAUUUGUUAACUUUUUCACUUGUAACUCUUUUCCUGCUAAUAUUCACCUUCCCAAGUAAAAUACAAACUCCAUGAAAUGACAAUUCUCAGUUUGAAAACUCUGGUACCUUGAAGAGCCACAGUGGUCAAGUCCAGCAGGAAGACCUCCAGCACUGGGGCCAUAUGUACUCUGCCCUCUCCUGCCAUAUGUGCAUUCAUACUAUGUCCCAGGAGCUUACUCUAUAGAAGGUCCUAGGCUCACAAAGGUGGGCAAGAAAAAGUCACUGUGGCAAGAGAUUGCUAGCUCUCAAGUUCCCUUUGUUCUUAAGCACACAGCAAGAUUACACAUCCUAGUCUUCCUUUAAGUUAGGUAUGACCCUGUGACUAAGUCCUCUCACAGGAAAUGUGAACAUAAAUGAUGCACGUGUGGCAGCCUCGCUUUAAAAUCUCUCAGCAAUGUUCCUCCAUCUCUUA
rnacentral:lncRNA from 10 species